rnacentral:lncRNA from 1 species
UACUUUUUCAGCCAAGUGACUGGCUAAUUUCAAAUACAAAAGAAGAUCUAAGCUGAGUAGAAACCCAGCAAGACCAUGGAAAAUUAAUGCUGAGACCCCUUAAUAAACAGGGAACAAUGUCAAAGUACCGUUAUUUCUCUAAGUAGGUUAAGAAGGUUUUGAGCAUCUAUUUUGUGCUGAUUUGAACACUGGGGCUAUAAAAAUGACAAAAAUACAGAGAUUGUCAACAUGCCACAAAAUAGAAAGAACAAGAGUGUGAGCAGAUAGAGAACCAAUUAUAACAUAAUAUGGGAUCCUUUUUCAGAUCCAGAAACAUUAAAUUAGACGGUACAAAAAUCCAUCCGGGAAACCCCAUAUGGCUCCAGUCACCAGCCAGCCCAUCACUCAUUUUGUAGUUUACAUGGUAGGGUGCCUGAACGCACCUAUAAACGGUGGGCUGAAUCCAGCAGACGUGGAAGAGAUGAAAGGACAAGGGAUGGAACACAGACAGCAGCGACUUCUGACAGAUGUUAAUAAUACAGGACGCUAUGAGGCAGACAUAAAGAGAUAUGAUUGUCCUUUUGGAAGCAUGAAAUGAAAGAAAGAUGAAGGGCCAUCUCUUUUUUUUUUUUUUUCCAAACCUACCAGACCCCAACUUUUCUUGUUUACAGAAAACCUGUGUGUGCCUUUUGGAUAAAUGUAGUUUAUAGGGAAAGAUUAUUGUGUACAUGGAAACCAUUAUGAAGAAAGUCACUGAUUUAAGAACAACAGAUGCAUGUUUACUUACCAACAUUUCAAUAAUAAAUUCCAUUUUAGCCCAAGAGGUUGAUGGGGAAAGGCAGUGGCUUAAAAGCUAAGGGUAGCUUGAAAGAGAAAAAUGGAAUCUCGUGAUCCGACCAAGCAGGGGCCUCCAGCGCAAAACAGAUUCACACGGGGGCCGAUCCCACAGGAACAAAGCUCCCUCCACAACCCGGCUCAGUGACUGGCCUGGCAUCAAUCCCACCACCAAACUAUUCUCAACCAAGAAGACUAGGGAUCUCCAACAGGAACUCUAAUAUGUGAGAGCAUUUUGAACUAAAGUCUUAAGUGUGUUAGACAGUAUUUUUCUCCAUCCUUGUAGAAUUCCUUUCUUGAGAACCUUGCUGCUGUUUAUGCCAGAGCAGACCUGGCGGGGAGCUUGCACCUGCCACAGCAUUUGCUUGUAUCUUCUGCACACCUGAGGUAGCCUCGACACAGACCACAAGGUUUGGGGGCUUUCCCGUCCUUCAUUUGCCCUGGAUCUCAGGAGACAUUACAGUGAAGUGGCUCUAGGGGGAGAGAUAGAGGAGAGAAAGACAGUAAAAGAGAGGAAGAGAAGAAAGAUACUGUUACUGGUGCCUAAAUAGCUUUUGGGGAAAAAUAGUUGCUAUAUAAGACAUAAUAAGGUAUAGCAGUAUUUUGAGAAGUUUUCUGUAUUAACGUAAUAAAUCUUUGGUUGGAAUGCUUACACUAGGGUUUGCCAGUUAACCUUUUUGUCUGUUCAUAUAAUUGAUACCUGUUUGUGUAUAGAACUAUUGAAUAUAUCAUUAUUUGUAAAUCUGCUUAAAUGUCCAGCUCAGCACAUUGCAUAUAUACGAACAUAAGUGUUCAAAGACAU